rnacentral:rRNA from 1 species
AUUGAACGCUGGCGGCAUGCCUUACACAUGCAAAUCGAACGGUAACGGGCCUUCGGGUGCCGACGAGUGGCGAACGGGUGAGUAAUACAUCGGAACGUGCCCGAUCGUGGGGGAUAACGAGGCGAAAGCUUUGCUGAUACCGCAUACGAUCUACGGAUGAAAGCAGGGGACCGCAAGGCCUUGCGCGGACGGAGCGGCCGAUGGCAGAUUAGGUAGUUGGUGGGAUAAAAGCUUACCAAGCCGACGAUCUGUAGCUGGUCUGAGAGGAUGAUCAGCCACACUGGGACUGAGACACGGCCCAGACUCCUACGGGAGGCAGCAGUGGGGAAUUUUGGACAAUGGGCGCAAGCCUGAUCCAGCCAUGCCGCGUGCAGGAUGAAGGCCUUCGGGUUGUAAACUGAUUUUGUACGGAACGAAAAGCCUUCUUUUAAUACAGGAGGGUCAUGACGGUACCGUAAGAAUAAGCACCGGCUAACUACGUG